CAUUACAGAGUUCAUGCCCUCACGGGUAGAUCUCCCACCCUUGAAUAAAUAUACCUUUGUUGCUUUGGCAGGCUUUCGGGCUUUAACCCCUCUACCUGCCAGAGAACCUCAAAAUCUGAUAUUGUAUUGUCUGAGUAUUUUAUAAUAGUUAAAACUUUCAACAACGGAUCUCUUGGUUCUGGCAUCGAUGAAGAACGCAGCGAAAUGCGAUAAGUAAUGUGAAUUGCAGAAUUCAGUGAAUCAUCGAAUCUUUGAACGCACAUUGCGCCCCUUGGUAUUCCGAGGGGCAUGCCUGUUCGAGCGUUAUUUAAACCCCUCAAGCUUUGCUUGGUGUUGGGGCAUGCCUACCCAGCAGCCCUUAAAAUCAGUAGCGGUGCCAUUUGGCUCUAAGCGUAGUAAAUUUUCUCGCUAUAGUGUCCAGGUGUAUACUUGCUAUUAACCCUUAACUUUUAUGGUUAACCUCGGAUCAGGUAGGGAUACCC
rnacentral:rRNA from 1 species